AAUGGGGGAAACCCUGACCCAGCGACGCCGCGUGAGGGAAGACAGUCUUCGGAUUGUAAACCUCUGUCACCCGGGACGAAAACAAUGACGGUACCGGGAGAGGAAGUCACGGCUAACUACGUGCCAGCAGCCGCGGUAAUACGUAGGUGGCGAGCGUUAUUCGGAUUCACUGGGCGUAAAGGGUCCGCAGGGGGCCUGCCAAGUCUGUCGUGAAAUCCCGGGGCUCAACCCCGGGUCUGCGGUGGAAACAGGCGGGCUAGAGUGUGUGAGGGGUAGACGGAACACCUGGUGUAGCGGUGGAAUGCGUGGAUAUCAGGAGGAACACCGAUGGCGAAGGCGGUCUGCUGGCACACAACUGACCCUCAGGGACGAAAGCGUGGGUAGCAAAAAAGGGCCGAUACCCUGGUAGUCCACGCUGUAAACGUUGAGAACUAGAUAUUGUGGGGGGGGCCCCCUCCGUUUCCAAGCAAACGCGAUAAGUUCUCCUUCUGGGGACUGCGGCCGCAAGGCUAAAAAUCAAAGGAAUUGACGGGGGCCCGCACAAGCGGUGGAGCAUGUUGCUUAAUUUGAGGCAACGCGAAGAACGUUACCCAGGUAUGACAUGCAUAUGACCGGUGGUGAAAGCCACUUUCCCUUCGGGGCAUAUGGACAGAUGAUGCAUGGCUGUCGUCAGCUCGUGCCGUGAGGUGUUCGGUUAAGUCCGGCAACGAGCGCAACCCGCGCCGUCAGUUACCAUCAGGUAAAAAUGGGGACUCUGGCGGGACCGCCCGUGUCAAGCGGGAGGAAGGCGCGGAUGACGUCAAGUCCGUAUGGGUUUUACGCCUGGGGGUGCAAACGUGCUACAAUGGCCGGUACAAAGGGGAGCGAGUCCGCGAGGCCAAGCGAAUCAUUAAAACCGGCCCCAGUUCGGAUCGCAGUCUGCAACUCGACUGCGUGAAGCCGGAAUCGCUAGUAAAGGGGCAUCAGCAACGGCCC
rnacentral:rRNA from 1 species